rnacentral:rRNA from 1 species
AGAGCGAACGCUGGCGGCAGGCCUAAAACAUGCAAGUCGAACGGACCCUUCGGGGUUAGUGGCGGACGGGUGAGUAACACGUGGGAACGUGCCUUUUGGUUCAGAACAACUCAGGGAAACUUGAGCUAAUACUGAAUAAGCCCUACGGGGGAAAGAUUUAUCGCCAUUAGAGCGGCCCGCGUUGGAUUAGCUAGUUGGUGAGGUAAAGGCUCACCAAGGCUACGAUCCAUAGCUGGUCUGAGAGGAUGAUCAGCCACACUGGGACUGAGACACGGCCCAGACUCCUACGGGAGGCAGCAGUUAGGAAUCUUGCGCAAUGGGCGAAAGCCUGACGCAGCCAUGCCGCGUGAAUGAUGAAGGUCUUAGGAUUGUAAAAUUCUUCAGCGGGGAAGAUAAUGACUGUACCCGCAGAAGAAGCUCCGGCUAACUCGCGCCAGCAGCCGC